rnacentral:sRNA from 1 species
CACCGCCUGGGGAGUACGACCGCAAGGUUAAAACUCAAAUGAAUUGACGGGGACCCGCACAAGUAGUGGAGCAUGUGGUUUAAUUCGAAGAUACGCGCAGAACCUUACCAACACUUGACAUGUUCGUCGCGACUCUAAGAGAUUAGAGUUUUCGGUUCGGCCGGACGAAACACAGGUGCUGCAUGGCUGUCGUCAGCUCGUGUCGUGAGAUGUUGGGUUAAGUCCCGCAACGAGCGCAACCCUCACUUUUAGUUGCCAUCAUUAAGUUGGGCACUCUGAAAGAACUGCCAGUGAUAAGCUGGAGGAAGGUGGGGAUGACGUCAAGUCCUCAUGGCCCUUACGUGUUGGGCUACACACGUGCUACAAUGGUAUCUACAACAGGAAGCAAGACUGCGAGGUCAAGCAAAUCCUAAAAAGAUACCUCAGUUCGGAUUGCACUCUGCAACUCGAGUGCAUGAAGCUGGAAUUACUAGUAAUCGUGGAUCAGCGUGCCACGGUGAAUGCGUUCCCGGGUCUUGUACACACCGCCCGUCACACCAUGGGAGUUGGUUCUACCUUAAGGCAAGGUUUAAAACCCUUGACCACGGUAUAGUCAGCGACUGGGGUGAAGUCGUAACAAGGUAGCCGUAGGGGAACCUGCGGCUGGAUUACCUCCUUUCUAAGGAUGAAUGAAAGUAAAAUUUCAUUCUAAAUAAUAUACAGGUAAUGUUGACCGUCCUCAUUUCUCUUCUUAAAGUAGUGUUUCUCUUUGCAUAGGGGCCGGUAGCUCAGUUGGUUAGAGCACACCCUUGAUAAGGGUGGGGUCGAAAGUUCGAGUCUUUCUCGGCCCACCAAUUUAAGAUCAUGGGGGAUUAGCUCAGCUGGGAGAGCGCCUGAUUUGCAUUCAGGAGGUCAGCGGUUCGAUCCCGCUAUCCUCCACCAAAACACUUAGUUAUUUAAUUUGUGAAUAAAAAUAUAUUAAUAUCAAUAUCUAUAUCCGAUUGUUCGAAAUAGAUGAACAAUCACAAAUGUUCGAAUAGAUGAACAUUUUUUUAAAAAUUUGAUCAACACAGAAUUUUUUUCUG